rnacentral:lncRNA from 1 species
UUGGGGAGGAAAGGGUUUAUUCAGCUUACACUUCCACAUUGCUGUUCAUCUCCAAAGGAAGUCAGGACUGGAACUCAAGCAGGUCAGGAAGCAGGAGCUGAUGCAGAGGCCAUGGAGGGAUGUUACUUACUGGCUUGCUUCCCCUGGCUUGCUCAGCUUGCUGUCUUAUAGAACCCAAGACCACCACCCCAGGGAUGGUACCACCCACAAUGGGCCCUCCCGCCCUUGAUUACUAAUUGAGAAAAUGCCUUACAGUUGGAUCUCAAGGGCGGCUCCAUUCUCUGUGAUAACUCCAGCUUGUGUCAGGUUGACACACAAAACCAGCCAGUACAACAUCCAAAUAUCAAUGUUUUUGGGAAAGUGAAUUGAUGGGAUUCAAAGCCAUCCCCUCCCCAACUUUCCAAAGAUCUCUUGGUCAAAGCCAGUGGACACGAUCGAUUCCUUUGCCUUUCCCAUCAGCCAGUAGCCCAUCCUGGAGGCCCUGGAGAAGGGAGGAGUCUAUAGGUGUGCUUUCUAGAUGAUGUCCUCAGUCAUUUGUGAUAGGGAAGGUCCUGAGAAAAAAAAUCUUCCGAGAUGAAAGAGAAGGAAUUAAUCUGUUCCCUAGACAGGGCCAGCCUCAGCUGGCUGACAGCUUCAUCUCCCCAGGGUUCCCAAACACUCCUUUCAUUUGAGUGCACUGACUUUUAUUCAGCACU